GUCCCUGUAGCGCAAUGGAUAGCUCGUUGGACUUAAUCCAAAGGCCGUGAGUUCAAAUCACAUCUGGGAUG